GCGAACUUUGCCAAUCUUGGUGUUCUCUGGCAAAUGCCAAACGUCCUGCACGGUGUUGGGCUGUAAGCACAACCCCCACAUGUGGACGUCUGGCCCACAUACCACCCUCAUGGAGUCUGUUUCUGACCGUUUGAGCAGACACAUGCACACUUGUGGCCUGCUGAAGGUCAUUUUGCAGGGCUCUGGCAGUGCUCCUCCUGUUCCUCCUUGCACAAAGGUGGAGGUAGCGGUCCUGCUGCUGGGUUG